UACGUAGGGUGCGAGCGUUAAUCGGAAUUACUGGGCGUAAAGCGUGCGCAGGCGGUUUUGUAAGCCAGAUGUGAAAGCCCCGGGCUUAACCUGGGAAUGGCAUUUGGGACUGCAAGGCUUGAGUGCGGCAGAGGAGACUGGAAUUCCUGGUGUAGCAGUGAAAUGCGUAGAUAUCAGGAGGAAUACCGAUGGCGAAGGCAGGUCUCUGGGCUGACACUGACGCUCAUGCACGAAAGCGUGGGAAGCAAACAGG
rnacentral:rRNA from 1 species